AACACACGCCAGGGAAUUACGAGCCUAGCUUAAAACCCAAAAGACUUGACGGUUUCCCAUCCCACUAGAGGAGCCUGUCCUAGAAUCGAUAAUCCCCGCUUAACCUUACCACCUCUUGCUUCCACUCAGUUAGUAUACUUCCGUCGCAAGCUUACCACAUGAGUGAAUGUAGUAGGCCCAAGGAUCGCCCCGUCAAUACGUCAGGUCAAGGUGCAGCAUAAGAGGUGGGCUGAGAUGGGCUACAAUCUCUAACUUAGAACACACGAAACACUGAAUGAAACGCAACUGUGAAGGUGGAUUUAGUAGUAAAAAGAAAAUAAAGUGUCCUUUUUAACAGCGGCACUGGGACGCGUACAAACCGCCCGUCACCCUCCUCAACUAAACACCAACAGUAAAUAACACAAACCCCAUAAUAAGAGGAGGCAAGUCGUAACACGGUAAGUGUACUGGAAGGUGCACUUGGAUAU
rnacentral:rRNA from 1 species